rnacentral:lncRNA from 1 species
AGAUGCUCUCAUUCAGCUAAUCUGUCCAAAAUUUUGGCAAUUAAGAUAAAAGCAAACAAAAAGCAGGAAUUACAUCUAUGAAGACCGAAGAUGUUCCAAAAUUGUGGCAAUUAAAAUAGAAAGAAAGAAAGAAAAAAGAAAGGCAGAAAUAAUUUAGGCCUCACCAGCUUUAUCCCUAACAUCGUUAUCCUCUUUGAUAGAUGACGCCAGAAAAGAGUGUCCUCGAAUAGAAUAAGGCAAGAAAAGUCCUUAAAGUGAGUAGAAAAAGGACACUAAAAAUAAUUGGAAAAUGUGCCAAAUCACUCCACUACACAUGGAGAUCGCCCAUAUCCCACACAUAUUAUACAUACCAUGCUUACAAGGCUUUGAGUUGAGUGGAUUAACACCAUCUCAUUUCUUCAAUCCUCUUCACUUUUCUGCCCUGAGAAAAUAGGAGAAAUUUCUUAGGGGCUCCCAAGAUUUCAGCUUUAACACCAAGAGAAAAACUGUUUUUGAAGU